CAUGCAAGUCGAGCGGUAACAGAGAUAGCUUGCUAUCUGCUGACGAGCGGCGGACGGGUGAGUAACGCGUAGGAAACUACCCGGUAGUGGGGGACAACCGUUGGAAACGACGGCUAAUACCGCAUACGCUCUACGGAGGAAAGGGGGCUUCGGCUCUCGCUAUCGGAUGUGCCUGCGUGAGAUUAGCUAGUUGGUGGGGUAAAGGCCUACCAAGGCGACGAUCUCUAGCUGGUCUGAGAGGAUGAUCAGCCACACUGGGACUGAGACACGGCCCAGACUCCUACGGGAGGCAGCAGUGGGGAAUAUUGGACAAUGGGCGCAAGCCUGAUCCAGCCAUGCCGCGUGUGUGAAGAAGGCUUUCGGGUUGUAAAGCACUUUCAUCAGUGAGGAAAGGGUAGUAGUUAAUACCUGCUAUCUGUGACGUUAACUGAAGAAGAAGCACCGGCUA
rnacentral:rRNA from 1 species